CCCGCUGCUCCGUGCGCGGCGGCGGCGGCACCGGGAGCGGCACCGGGAGCGGCGGGGGCCCCGCAGCUGCGGCUCGUUGCGCUCCGCUCCGCCCGGUUCUUAACGGCGGAGCCGAACCCCCCUCCCGGGACACCGCAUGUGAGCCGGGAGGGCAGCUCCGCACCGCGCACCGGCACCGCACGGCACCCGCUCCCCGCUCGGAGCUGCUGUUUCACUCGCCUUCACACCACCACCCCCCUCGGCCCCCCACUAUGAGUAACCUCAAUAAGGACACCGAGCACACCAACGGCGGAGGAAACGUCGAGGAGGAGGUACGGACACUGUUUGUCAGUGGCCUUCCUGUGGACAUCAAACCCAGAGAGCUCUACCUACUCUUCCGACCAUUCAAGGGUUAUGAAGGGUCACUGAUCAAGCUAACAUCGAAGCAGCCGGUUGGUUUUGUGACCUUUGACAGCCGAGCUGGUGCUGAAGCAGCAAAGAAUGCCUUAAAUGGCAUACGCUUUGACCCAGAGAACCCUCAGACCUUGCGGUUAGAGUUUGCUAAAGCCAACACAAAGAUGGCCAAGAGCAAGCUGAUGGCCACACCAAACCCCACCAAUAUCCACCCUGCCCUGGGCGCACACUUCAUUGCACGGGACCCCUAUGACCUGACUGGAGCGGCUCUAAUCCCGGCAUCCCCAGAAGCAUGGGCUCCCUACCCACUGUACACCACGGAGCUCACCCCUGCCAUCCCCCAUGCCGCCUUCACGUACCCAGCGGCUGCUGCUGCGGCCGCUGCUCUUCACGCUCAGUGAACUCCAGCCAUGAUGCCAGCGCAGGCUAGCCCUGAAGCUCAGAGCUGUCCCUGGAGAUGGGACACCCUAGUGAUGCCUUAUUGCAGCUAGUGGAGUGGCUGUGCUACAGCUCCAUUCCUAGAAGUGUUAAGCAUGACGGCAGCCCCGUUUGGAAAGACUGGUAAGAUGCGCUGGUAUCCUCCUUCUGAAGCUACCCAGCAAGGAUGGAAGUCUCGUCAGUUUUGUUAGUUUGUUACAUCUCUCCUGGGCUCCUGUUCCUCCUCCCUGCCUCUCCGUGGAGGGACGUGCCAGGGAUGAUGGCUCCCACCUCUCGCUUUGGUUUGCGGCCAGCGGACGAAGCGCCCGGCCCCGGCGCGUCCCCCUCCGGACUGUGAAGCCGCCGCACGCCGCCUCCAUCCCUCCGUCCCUCCAUCCAUCUGUCCAUGCUGAGCUUCACCACCGGGCUGCGCCGACACCCGGCGAGGGCUUGGUCCCGAGCUCGGCUGAAGGAAACGAAAGGCAAAUCGGGUUUUGCAUGUUUUCUGGCAUGAAUUAAAACACUUAACUUGUGUAUGUGUGAGUGUAAGUUUGUUUGUUCUAGCGUUUGUGUAACCGUUAGCAACAGGUCCUACGGACUGAUCCAUCGAGGUUUUCAUCUUGCGUCGGUGAAGACUUGGCUCUGAGAAACACGAACUGUCCUUGCCUCACCCCUUCCCCACCUCCGCCCUCCCCCUUCCCAGUACGACCAGAAGAAUUUGAAAAAUGUUUUUUCUUUUUUUUUUUUUUCCUUUUUUUUUUUUUUUUCCCCCUUUCCUCCAAGUACGAUGCACUGGGUUUCUGUUCUCAUCCAUCCUCCGGUUUUAAAAUCAGGGUUAUUAUAUUAUUUUUUUUUUUUUUUUCAGACUUCUAUAUAUAGAAAGGCUGUAAGCUAUCUAACCUCUUUUAUUUUUCUUCCCCUUUUUUUCCACAUCCUUCUGAUUGGAGAGCAUCCAGUCCUGCCAAAUAAUCAGCCGUCCUUAUGGGAAUACCGAACAAAAAAAAAAGUACGAGUAUUUUUGUACCAUGUGUAAUAAGGAAAUAUUUAUGCAUCAUAAAGAAUUUCUUGUGUGUUUGUGUGCAAUUAAUUAUUAUUAUUAUUAUUAUUAUUAAAAGAGAAAUUGUAAUCCUGUAAGAUAAGUUAAUGUUUAGUUAAAAGCUUGAAAAGAGAAGGGUUGUCUUCUGUACUAAUGAUUCAGUUAGGCAUCGUAAAUGAGAAAUUGUGCAAUUUUUGUUUUAGCAUCUUAUUGCUUGGUAUUGAAGUGCUUUAAGUAUUAUAUGACCAUGGCUGUCUCGCUUGUAUUAAAAGAUUUGAGAAUAAGUUGCUCUAUACUUGCUGAUCCUAUGAGAAUGUGAAACUGGAUAAUAUAUGAAAUGCAACAAAAGAAAAAAAUAUAUAUACCCAGAGGCUGCUGUGA